rnacentral:rRNA from 1 species
GACGAACGCUGGCGGCGUGCUUAACACAUGCAAGUCGAACGGAAAGGCCUCUUUCGGGGGGUUCUCGAGUUGCGAACGGGUGAGUAACACGUGAGUAACCUGCCCUUGUCUUUGGGUUAAAUUCCGGAAACUGGGGCUAAUACCGGCUAGGAGAUCCUGUUGACUGCAGGGGGUUGGAGAGAUUCGGGGGUUGGGGGUGGCCUCGCGGCGUAUCAGCUUAUUGGUGGAGUGGUGGCUUACCAAGGGUUUGACGGGUAGCCGGCCUGAGAGGGUGACCGGCCACACUGGGACUGAGAGACGGCCCAGACUCCGACGGGAGGGAGCAGGGGGGAAUAUUGCAGAAGGGGUGGCAGCUGGAUGCAGCAGCGCCGCGGGCGGUAGAACGGCCUUCUGGUUGAAAACCGCAUGCGCUCAUGACGAAGCUUUGUGUGACGGUAGUGGGUAAAGAAGCACCGGCUAACUACGUG